AAUUAUUUCUUUCGCACCAAAUCGUCCACCCCCUUCAAUUACCAUGCUGAUAUCUAACAAUUAUAGGUUAUAUCCUUAGAAUGACUCUCUCUGUCUCUCUCUCUCACUCUCUUUGUAAAGAUUGCUGGUUUAAAGUGGCCAACAUCCUUGCUUCGAAGUGGCAGGAGGCCAGGUUGGACCGAGUUAUGUUCAAAGUGGCGUGAGACUGGUUGAGUCCAGUCACAAUCGAGACCCGUGAAUCCUGUGCACGUACGCUUUAAGUAAAUUGGUUGCAUCUUUCUAACAACCCGAGCUUUUGGAAUUAGUAGAUGCAUCUUUCUAACAACUUGUCGGAUCGUUCGCGCUAACCAUUAAUCUCAAAAGCUCGAGCUAUUAGAAAUACGCAACCAAUUCACUUAAAGCGUAUAGAAACAACGUCCACGGGUCUUGAUUGUGACUCGGCCCACCUAGCCUCACGCCACUUCGAACAUGACUCGGCCCAACCCAGCCUCACGCCAUUUCGAACAUGACUCGACCCACAUGGCCUCCCGCCACAGGGCAGGAUGCUGGCCCAUUUAAGCCAACAAUCCCCCCUCCAGCACCUGCAUAUAUUUGCAGCAGGCAGAAAUCGAACCCGUGACCUCUGGCUCUGAUACCACUUGUCGGAUCGUUGGUGCUAACCAUUAAUCCCAAAAGCUCGAGCUAUUAGAAAUACGCAAUCAAUUCACUUAAAGCGUGCAGAAACAGCGCCCACGGGUCUCGAUUGUGACUCGGUCCACCUGACCUCACGCCACUUCGAACAUGACUCGGCCCAACCCAGCCUCACGCCAUUUCGAACAUAACUCGACCCACAUGGCCUCCCGCCACAAGGCAGGAUGCUGGCCCAUUUAAGCCAACACUUGAGCUUUUAGAAUUAAUAGUUAGUGCCAACGAUCUAAAAAAGGUAGGAAGGUGCUUGCUUCAUUUACUUUUUAGGAAUGAACUUAGCUAGAAUGUGAAGCAAACUAGGCUUCGAACUAAGGACAUCGGGGACCAUCCAUCAAGUUUCUCACGUCACU
rnacentral:lncRNA from 1 species